rnacentral:rRNA from 1 species
UACGUAGGGGGCAAGCGUUGUCCGGAAUCAUUGGGCGUAAAGAGCGCGUAGGCGGCCCGAUAAGUCCGCUGUGAAAGUCAAGGGCUCAACCCUUGAAUGCCGGUGGAUACUGUCGGGCUAGAGUCCGGAAGAGGCGAGUGGAAUUCCUGGUGUAGCGGUGAAAUGCGCAGAUAUCAGGAGGAACACCAAUGGCGAAGGCAGCUCGCUGGGACGGUACUGACGCUGAGGAACGAAAGCUAGGGGAGCAAACAGG